rnacentral:rRNA from 1 species
AACGAACGCUGGCGGCAUGCCUAACACAUGCAAGUCGAACGAGAACUUCGGGACUUGUGUCGCACGGGUGCGUCACGCGUGGGGACCUGACCUUAGGUUCGGACUAACUCUCCGAAUGGGGUGCUAAUACGGGAUAAUGUCUUCGGACCAAGGAUUUAUUGAAUUUGGAUGGGCCAGCGUUGGAUUAGCUUGUUGGUAGGGUAAAAGCCUACCAAGGCGACAAUCCAUAGCUGGUCUGUGAGGAUGAUCAGCAACUCUGGGACUGAGACACGGCCCAGACUCCUACGCGAGGCAGCAGAGGGUAAUAGAGCAAAGUGGGCGAAGUCCUGAACCUGCAAUGCCGCGUAAAUGAUGAAAUCCUUGAAGUAGUAAAGCGCUUGUACCCGGGAUCAUAAUGACGGUACCUGAUGAGUAAGCUACGGCUAACUCCGUG